ACAACAUGCAAGGGAAGUUAUCCAUACAGAUGAGUUAAUGUUUACAGAUUUUUUGUGGAGAUAGAAAAUGCUUUGCUUGCCAGACAGGGGAGAGAGCUGGAGGCUGUGUGGACAAUGUGGAUCUUGAGAGAAGAAAAGAGAAUUUCUAAAUUCUUCCUUGGUAUGGGCUUUCGGGAGAAUCACUGUGGUUCAGCUUACACAAAACCAAUCUCUGAGGUUUUGCUGCUCACAGCCUAGAUGUGUGGGUGAGGAGAACCUGAUGUCUCAGCCAAAUAAGAGAAGUGAGCAGCCGUCAAGAUUAAAUCAACCUAUUUGUGAUUUUAACUUUGCUGAUUGGACUCAAGUCACAGUUGCUUUUUCUGUGCUCAAGGUUAAACAGCAACUACAGUUCUUGAGACCAGAAGUCGGAAUGAAUCUUACAGGGUGAAAACCAGGGUGCCAUCAAUGUUGGUUCUCUCUGGAGGCUCUAAGGGGAAAGUCUUUUUCUCCUCUUUGCAGACAUACUGAUGAGUGUAACAAUUCAUGGAGCCAUAGAUACAGCAAAAUAAGGUAAGUUACUGUCCAAUUUUCUCAUAUUCUCUGUACAAAAAUCCUCUAAAGACUUCUGGUCCAGUGGAGGUAAAAAUCAUUGCCCCUUCCUUGUUAAAUGGAGCAAAGUAAAAGGAUAAAAUCAACCUGGCUUUCCUUAGUAAGUAAAGGAUCAAGUUGGUUGUUUGUUGAAAAUACAAAUUCACUUUUUAUUGUAACUAUUUGUUUCUAGGUGAAGUCAAUUCUCUGUCCUAAAUGAAAUGGCAAAAUACUCAGAUUCAGCAGAAGAGAAGUAGCAUGAGAUAAUACAAAAAUCUGUUAAAAGCUUUAAUUUCAAGUUCUGCCUGUGGGGCAUUAGUUGUGUGACCUUGGACAAGUCAUUUCAGCCUCUCUAAGCCACUCAGUUGCCUUCUUGGUAAAUAUAGUUCCAAGAUCAGUCUCAUAAAAUUGUUGGGUGGCUGAAAUGAAAUAUUUACAUAGAUAAUGUAAGAUAAUUUUUUUCUUUGUUAAUCCGUUAUCUUGUUUGAGUACUUUGUAAGCUUCAAAUUACUAUGCAAAACUUAAUUGCUGCCCAUAUCUGCAUGCCCUGGUGGUAUGUUCAUAGCCUAUCGAGGACCUAGUAUCUCAGACCUCCAGAGAGUCAUCUUGUUUAACCUGUUUUGUAAUUUGGCUCUGAAAGCACAUUUUGAUGGCGGAUGUGGUAUUAACAAAUGUUCUAGAGGGGAGAGUGGUUUGCCAGGAAGCUUUGCCAAUUAAAAGCAAAGUGAAAAUUCAGAAUUACAGAGAUUUAAUUUCCUGCUGAAUAAUUCUCCACAAGCUGUGUAAACUUCUCCUUACUGAACAAAUACUCAGAAUAAAAUAGCUUAGAUGCUCUUUUCCUUUUUAAUAAGAAAAUGUUCAUAUUAUUUGCAUGUGGAGCCAAGGGAAGAAGGAGGUCUGGCUCUCCUGAGCUGAGUUUGUAUAAGUCAUCAAGAAUCCUGCUGUGUCCUUGACCUGUGGAACUUGGAAGGCUGGGUGAAAAGAGCCAUUUUUAAAGGGCCUUUUGCCAGCAAGAGCCCCAUAGAUUGUCCCUGGGCUAGUUCCUUGCAGUCUGUUUAACUUGAUACUUUUAAAAUGAAUUGACCAUUAGUGGAAGAUGCUUUAGAAUAGUGUUUGAGCACCUACAAUGAGCCAGUCCUGAGGUCAAGUGGCUAGCAAAACAGACAUGGUCCUUGACUUCCCAGAACAUAGU